UAAUUGAAGAGUUUGAUCAUGGCUCAGAUUGAACGCUGGCGGCAGGCCUAACACAUGCAAGUCGAACGGUAACAGGAAGCAGCUUGCUGCUU
rnacentral:rRNA from 2 species